UUGACCUCGGAUCAGGUAGGGAUACCCGCUGAACUUAAGCAUAUCAAUAAGCGGAGGAAAAGAAACCAACAGGGAUUGCCCUAGUAACGGCGAGUGAAGCGGCAACAGCUCAAAUUUGAAAUCUGGCCCCUUUGGGGUCCGAGUUGUAAUUUGCAGAGGGUGCUUUGGCGUUGGCGGCGGUCUAAGUUCCUUGGAACAGGACAUCGCAGAGGGUGAGAAUCCCGUAUGUGGUCGCAUGCCUUCGCCGUGUAAAGCCCCUUCGACGAGUCGAGUUGUUUGGGAAUGCAGCUCUAAAUGGGAGGUAAAUUUCUUCUAAAGCUAAAUACCGGCCAGAGACCGAUAGCGCACAAGUAGAGUGAUCGAAAGAUGAAAAGCACUUUGGAAAGAGAGUCAAACAGCACGUGAAAUUGUUGAAAGGGAAGCGCUUGCAGCCAGACUUGCCUGUAGUUGCUCACCCGGGCUCCUGCCCGGGGCACUCUUCUGCAGGCAGGCCAGCAUCAGUUUGGGCGGUCGGAUAAAGGGCUCUGACACGUACUUCCCCUCGGGGUUGACAUACAGGGGAGCCGCAAUGCGACCAGCCCGGACUGAGG
rnacentral:rRNA from 1 species